rnacentral:rRNA from 1 species
AUGGUGUUGAUUCAUGGAAUAAAUGCAAAGAUGCUUUUUAUCUCUAAGUAUUUUCCUCCCGCUAAGAUCAUCUCUCUUAGAAAUGAUAUUAUGAAUUUUAAGCAACUUGAUCAUGAGCAUGUUGCACAAGCUUGGGAGAGAAUGAAAUUAAUGAUACGUAAUUGCCCUACACAUGGUUUGAAUUUAUGGAUGAUUAUACAAAAAAUUUAUGCCGGAUUGAAUUUUGCUUCUAGAAAUCUUUUAGAUUCGGCCGCGGGAGGCACUUUUAUGGAAAUCACUUUAGGAGAAGCUACUAAACUCCUAUAUAAUAUUAUGGUUAAUUAUUCUCAAUGGCACACCGAAAGAUCCACUAGUAAAAAAGUUCAUGCGAUUGAAGAGAUUAAUGUUUUGAGUGGAAAGAUGGAUGAACUUAUGAAAUUGUUUGCUCAUAAGAGUGUUUCUUCUGAUCCUAAUGAUAUGCCUUUGUCCACUUUGAUUAAGAAUAAUAAUGAAUAUAUGGAUGUGAAUUUUGUUGGUAGGAACAAUUUUGGUAAUAACGCAUAUAGAGGAAACUAUUCUUGGCCGUUCCCUAGUAAUUCCUCUAAUAAUUAUGGUAAUUCCUACAACAACUCUUAUGGAAAUUUUAAUAAGAUGCCCUCUGACUUUGAGACUAGUGUUAAAGAAUUUAUGGUUUCGCAAAAGAAUUUCAAUGCUUUGCUUGAAGAAAAACUGCCUAAGAUUGAUGAGGUUGCUAGGAACAUGGAUAUAAUUUCUCUUGAUGUUGAUUCUUUGAAACUUAGAUCUAUUCCACCUAUGCAUGAUAUCAAUGAGUCUCUCAAAGCCAUGAGAAUUUCCAUUGAUGAGUGCAAGGAAAGAACCGCUAGGAUGCGUGCUAAAAAAGAUUGCUUUGUGAAAGCGUGUUCUUCUAGUUUUCAUGAUAAUAAUGAUGAAGAUCUAAAAGUGAUUGAUGUGUCUCCUAUUAAAUCCUUGUUUUCUAAUAUGAAUCUUGAUAAAGAUGGGACUGGAGAUGAGUCAACUUUAGUUAAAAGGUGUCCCAAUGAUUCAAAGUUUUUAGAUCUUGAUGCAAAAAUUGGUAAAAGUGGGAUUGAAGAGGUCAAAACUUUACAUAGCAAUGAACCCACUAUUUUGGAUUUCAUGAAAUUUAAUUAUGAUAAUUUCUCUUUGAUAGAUUGUAUUUCCUUGUUGCAAUCUGUGUUAAAUUCUCCUCAUGCUUAUGAUAAAAAUAAAGCUUUUACCAAACAUAUCGUUGAUGCUUUAAUGCAAUACUAUGAAGAAAAACUUGAAUUAGAAGUUUCUAUCCCUAGAAAACUUUAUGAUGAGUGGGAACCUACUAUUAAAAUUAAGAUUAAAAAAUCAUGA